UACGUAGGGUGCAAGCGUUGUCCGGAAUUAUUGGGCGUAAAGAGCUCGUAGGCGGUUUGUCGCGUCUGCUGUGAAAAUCCAGGGCUUAACCCUGGACCUGCAGUGGGUACGGGCAGACUAGAGUGCGGUAGGGGAGAUCGGAAUUCCUGGUGUAGCGGUGAAAUGCGCAGAUAUCAGGAGGAACACCGGUGGCGAAGGCGGCUCUCUGGGACGGUACUG
rnacentral:rRNA from 1 species